rnacentral:tRNA from 1 species
AAAAAUUUAGUUAAACUAUAACCAUAGCUUGUCAAGCUAUUAUUAUUAUUCUACAAUAAUAAUUUUUA